rnacentral:rRNA from 1 species
GUACCGCGGCUGCUGGCACGGAGUUAGCCGGUGCUUCUUCUGCAGGUAACGUCAACACUGGCCGGUAUUAGCGACCAGCUUUUCCUCCCUGCUGAAAGUGCUUUACAACCCAAAGGCCUUCUUCACACACGCGGCAUGGCUGGAUCAGGGUUGCCCCCAUUGUCCAAUAUUCCCCACUGCUGCCUCCCGUAGGAGUCCGGGCCGUGUCUCAGUCCCGGUGUGGCUGAUCAUCCUCUCAGACCAGCUACGGAUCGUCGCCUUGGUAAGCCGUUACCUCACCAACAAACUAAUCCGACAUGGGCCCAUCCAAUAGCGCGAGCCGGAGCCCGCUUUCCCCCUCAGGGCGUAUGCGGUAUUAAUCCGGGUUUCCCCGGGCUAUCCCCCACUACUGGGUAAGUUCCCAUGCAUUACUCACCCGUCCGCCGCUCGCCAGCACCCCGGAGGGCCUGCUGCCGCUCGACUUGCAUGUGUUAGGCCUGCCGCCAGCGUUCAAUCUGAGCCAUGAUCAAACUC